rnacentral:rRNA from 1 species
GACGAACGCUGGCGGCAUGCUUAACACAUGCAAGUCGAACGGAAAGGCCCUGCCGUGGUGGGGUGCUCGGGUGGCGAACGGGUGAUUCACAUGUGAGUAACCUGCCCUUGGCUUUGGGGUAACUACAGCUAACUUGGGCUAAUACGGGAUAGGAGCUCCUACUGCGUGGUGGGGGUGGGAAAGUUUCGGCGGGUGGGGAUGGACUCGCGGCUUAUCAGCUUGUUGGUGGGGUAGUGGCUUACCAAGGCGUUGACGGGUAGCCCGCCUGAGGGGGUGACCGGCGACAAGGGGACUGAGAGAGGGCACAGACCCCUACGUGAGGCAGCAGGGGGGAAUAUUGCACAAUGGGCGGAAGCCUGAUGCAGCAACGCCGCGUGCGGGAUGAGGGCCUUCGGGUUGAGAACCGCUUUCGCCUGUGACCGAGCGUGAAUGACGGUAAUGGGUAAAGAAGCACCGGCUAACUACGUG